rnacentral:tRNA from 1 species
GGCUCUGUGGCGCAAUGGAUAGCGCAUUGGACUUCUAGACAAGUGAAGGCAUUCAAAGGUUGUGGGUUCGAGUCCCACCAGAGUCG